UCCUAAUAUAUGAGAAAUCUAAGCCUUAGGAUCAAACGAUAUCAACGGUUCUAAUAAAUCCAAACUUUUGAUAUCAAACGAUAUACUGCUGCUACUCAGAAAAACAGAGCAAAGAACUACGAGCUUCAAUUUCAAUGAGAUUCAAGAAUUUCGAACACAAUUCCGUCCGAUUUUUGUCAGAUUUCAGCAGCAACAAGAAUCACUAGCUUCAUAGAAUAUACAGGAGAAUCAAGUUAUUCAGGGAAAGAGUGGGUUUAAUAGCUUCAUGGUAGCUCCAAAGUAUCUGUUGCAAAUUAAAGGCCUCUGGCUGUGUUUUACGACCGUGUGAAACUGGUGAGAAAGGCAUUCAAAACAAGUUUCAUAGUAUAAUUCUAUUGUUCUUUAGUUAAUCUGUUUUUCUUUUCUUUUUUUGAGUUCCUGUCUCUAAAGUGGGAAACCACAAAACCAAACAAACUCAAUCAUAGAGGUCAAAGGCAGCUUACUAUCAAUUACUUUCUAAAAAUAUUAGACAUGUCUUUGUUAUACAUAUAUUGAUUGACCUGAUAUAUUUGUCUAGAACUGGAUAAUUCCUUCUCGAUCUUUAUAACCCCAACCUCAGUUCCUUUACACACAUAAGCAUCUGUAUUAAUCUUCAUCACGCUAGCCCAACAGUAGCUUGUGUUAUACUUGUUAACUAUUAGCUAAGCUAUGCUUUAGUUGCAAUGAUGCAGUGAUAGACGAGCAAUUGUUCUUCUUUAGGUAUGAUUUUGGUUUUUUAAUGUAUCUUUGAUUUCAUUAUUUUCUAGAUCUUGUUUUUUAUUUUCGCUUGAUUUGGGUGUGAAUAGAUUUGCAUUGAUUGGAAUUGGAAUCACAAAAAAAUCAAAUAGAACUGCUGUCAUCAUGCAUAUUAAGUUCAUAACUGUUGAUGUUUCAGGUACUUGUAUGGGAAUCUAUAUGCAAGUAAUAAUAUAUGGGCAACUACUGAGAAUCCAACAAACUGUGAAAACCUUAGCACAGCAACAAUUAAUGUCGUUUAGUUGUGUAAAAGACUCACCACUUUAGUGCAAUGCUGUAGGAACUACACUUCCAGCUAUGGGAUACAUAUAUUCAUUUGCGCAGGACAACUAGAAAGAUGUUCUCAAUCUAACCAGCACCGGAGUUUACAGAGUUGUUUGCCCAAGCGGUUGCAACUAUGCUUACUCAAAGGAGAUGGCAAGGCCUGCCACUAGUCCAACUCCAAGUCCAUCAUCCCCUUCAAGAGAAGCUCAUUCUCUUGCACCUCUUAGAGAUUGCCUCUCCUUUCUUCUCUGCUUCCUGAUUCAGCAUUUAUUAUUUUGAGCAGUGUUUCAUUUGCAUUCAGCUAGGAUAGUCAUAUACUCGUAUAGAUAUAUAUAGUUCUUUGUAUCUCCGUAGGUUUGAGAAGAAUGUUGAAAUUUUUCGAGAUACACAUUAUUGUAAU